rnacentral:rRNA from 1 species
UACAGAGGGUGCGAGCGUUAAUCGGAAUUACUGGGCGUAAAGGGUGCGUAGGUGGUUUAGUAAGUUAGAUGUGAAAUUCCUGGGCUUAACCUGGGGACUGCGUCUGAUACUGCGAAGCUAGAGUACUGUAGAGGAAAGUGGAAUUUCCGGUGUAGCAGUGAAAUGCGUAGAUAUCGGAAGGAACAUCAGUGGCGAAGGCGACUUUCUGGACAGAUACUGACACUGAGGCACGAAAGCGUGGGGAGCAAACAGG